GACGAACGCUGGCGGCGUGCUUAACACAUGCAAGUCGGACGGAAAGGCCUGCUUUCCCUUGUGGAUUGCGGGUACUCGAGUGGCGAACGGGUGAGUAACACGUGAGUGAUCUGCCCCCAACUUGGGUAUAAGCCUGGGAAACUGGGUCUAAUUCCCGAUAGGACUGCAGGGUGGUGCCUGUGGUGGAAAACGAUUUUCUAGUGGUUGGGGAUGAGCUCGCGGCCUAUCAGCUUGUUGGUGGGGUAAUGGCCUACCAAGGCGGCGACGGGUAGCCGGCCUGAGAGGGUGGACGGCCACAUUGGGACUGAGAUACGGCCCAGACUCCUACGGGAGGCAGCAGUGGGGAAUAUAGCACAAUGGGCGGAAGCCUGAUGCAGCGACGCCGCGUGGGGGAUGACGGCCUUCGGGUUGCAAACUCCUUUCGACCGCGAGGAAGCCACCUGGUUGGAAGGGUGGUGACGGUAGUGGUAGAAGAAGCACCGGCUAACUACGU
rnacentral:rRNA from 1 species